GAAGAUGAUGAGUUCAUAUUUGUCGCCCGAGUCUUAGGAUCUGCGUCGGUACAUCUGUGCUGAUUGACAUACUUAUGAAUCUGACUUC
rfam:Triticum urartu cultivar G1812 contig1210287, whole genome shotgun sequence.